AACGAACGCUGGCGGCGCGUCUUAAGCAUGCAAGUCGGACGGUAAGGAAGGAGCUUGCUUCUUCCCUAGAGUGGCGGACUGGUGAGGAACGCGUGGGUGACGCACCCUUCGGACGGGGAUAGCCGGUAGAAAUACCGGGUAAUACCGGAUAAGAGCGCCUCCUUAGAGGGAGGCGGAGAAAGCGGCUUCGGCCGCGCCGGAGGAACGGCCGCGUGCUAUUAGCUAGUUGGCGGGGUAACGGCCCACCAAGGCGACGAUAGCUAUCCGGCCUGAGAGGGUGAACGGACACAUUGGGACUGAGAUACGGCCCAGACUCCUACGGGAGGCAGCAGCUAAGAAUAUCCGCAAUGGGGGAAACCCUGACGGAGCGACGCCGCGUGGAUGAUGAAG
rnacentral:rRNA from 1 species